UUCAUGGAGAGUUUGAUCCUGGCUCAGGACGAACGCUGGCGGCGUGCCUAAUACAUGCAAGUCGAGCGGACCGACGGGAGCUUGCUCCCUUAGGUCAGCGGCGGACGGGUGAGUAACACGUGGGUAACCUGCCUGUAAGACUGGGAUAACUCCGGGAAACCGGGGCUAAUACCGGAUGCU
rnacentral:rRNA from 1 species